rnacentral:tRNA from 1 species
UCUAAUGUGGCAGAUAAAAUGCAAUGAACUUAAGAUUCAUUUAUAAAGAAUAAUCUUUCAUUAGAA